GACGAACGCUGGCGGCGCGCCUAACACAUGCAAGUCGAACGGAGCUGAGAGAAGCUUGCUUUUCUUAGCUUAGUGGCGAACGGGUGAGUAACGCGUGAGUAACCUGCCCUGGAGUGGGGGACAACAGUUGGAAACGACUGCUAAUACCGCAUAAGCCCACGAUCCGGCAUCGGAUUGAGGGAAAAGGAUUUAUUCGCUUCAGGAUGGACUCGCGUCCAAUUAGCUAGUUGGUGAGGUAACGGCCCACCAAGGCGACGAUUGGUAGCCGGACUGAGAGGUUGAACGGACACAUUGGGACUGAGACACGGUCCAGACUCCUACGGGAGGCAGGAGUGGGGGAUAUUGCACAAUGGGGGAAACCCUGAUGCAGCGACGCCGCGUGGAGGAAGAAGGUUUUCGGAUUGUAAACUCCUGUCGUAAGGGACGAUAAUGACGGUACCUAACAAGAAAGCACCGGCUAACUACGUG
rnacentral:rRNA from 1 species